GUUCCCGGAGGUUAACAUCCGACAGCGCGUUGCGCCCUCGGGUGUCAAACUG
rfam:Labrenzia sp. C1B10 contig6, whole genome shotgun sequence.